rnacentral:rRNA from 1 species
GACGAACGCUGGCGGCGUGCUUAACACAUGCAAGUCGAACGGAAAGGCCCUGCUUUUGUGGGGUGCUCGAGUGGCGAACGGGUGAGUAACACGUGAGUAACCUGCCCUUGACUUUGGGAUAACUUCAGGAAACUGGGGCUAAUACCGGAUAGGAGCUCCUGCUGCAUGGUGGGGGUUGGAAAGUUUCGGCGGUUGGGGAUGGACUCGCGGCUUAUCAGCUUGUUGGUGGGGUAGUGGCUUACCAAGGCUUUGACGGGUAGCCGGCCUGAGAGGGUGACCGGCCACAUUGGGACUGAGAUACGGCCCAGACUCCUACGGGAGGCAGCAGGGGAGAAUAUUGCACAAUGGGCGGGAGCCUGAUGCAGCAACGCCGCGUGCGGGAUGACGGCCUUCGGGUUGUAAACCGCUUUCGCAUGUGACGAAGCGUGAGUGACGGUAAUGGGUAAAGAAGCACCGGCUAACUACGUG